rnacentral:lncRNA from 1 species
AAAGGCAUCACAUCUUUUAUGUAAUGGAUGCAGAUAUAUGUCACAAGAACCCCUGUGGACAGGGCUGAGGUGUUUGGCCCAGUGAAAUGUCACAAUAACCAAAAUAUGUGGUUGUUAGACAGAAGAGUCACAUCACCUAAGUUCUGGUUCCAGUGAUAUGUCACAAUCUUUCCUUUUGACAGGGAUCAGAGAGGAGUCACAUCGGUUAGGUGAUGAACAAAAAUAAAUGUCUCAAUAACCCCAUGCUCACGGUCCAUGUGAGAGAGUUGAAUCACCCAUGUGUUGAACCUAGUGAAAUGUCAAAAUAUACAAUUUAUGCAGGGCCCAGGCAGGAGAAGACAGUACCUUCACCUAGGUGUCAGCCCCAGUGAUACAUCACAAUACCUUCUGUGACAGAGUCCAAGCAGUGGAGAAGAAUCACAUUACCUAGGUGCUGAGUCAAAAACUAUGUCACAAAAAUCAAUGAGGGUAGGGCCCAGGCAGGAGUCAAAUUACCUAAAUUAGGGGCUCAGGGAUAUGUUGCAAUGACCUCUGUGGGUAGGACUCAGGAGAAACAGGAGAGUCACAUAAUCAAGGUGCUGAGUAAAGCUAUAUGACACAAUCACCCAAACUGAUAGGCCCAGGCAAAAGAAAGGAGUCAUAUCACAUAGGUGCUGGGCCAAGUGAUGUGUCACAAUCUUCAUUAUGGACAGUUCCCAGGAAGGAGAGUCAUAUCAUCUAGAUGAUGAACCUAGAGAUGUCACAAUAAGCCAUGUGGGCUGGGAUAAUGCAGAAGAAUAGAAUCAUUUGUGUGUUGAUCCUAGUAUAAGUCACUCUCUUUUUUGUGUGCAUGGACCAGGCGGGAGAGUCAUAACAUCUAGGUGCUGGGCCCAGAGAUAGGUCACAAGCUCUACUAUUGGCAAAGCCCAGGUAAGAAAGUAGAGUCACAUCAAAUAGUUGAUGGGCCAAGAGAUAUGUCACAAUGCCCCCAGUAGGCAGGGUUUAGGCAGGAGACAAAUUACAUUGAUGCUGGGCACUGUAGUAUGUCACAAUGUCUUUUAAGGGCAGGGCCAGGCAAAAUAAUUUCGCUGAUGGGCCUAGUGAUGUGUUAGUUUUUCUGUGAGCAGAAUCUGUGAAGAAGAGGCAAGUAACAUCAGCUUGGUGCUGAAACCAGCAAUAGAUAUCAUUAUCCCCUAGUGAACAAGGACUAGGCAGGUGAAAAGAUUCACAUCACCUUGGUGAUUGGCACAAAGGUACGUAACAAUAUCCCUGGAAGGCAGUGGCCUGGCAGGAAUGUUACAUCACCUGGGUAUUGAAACCAGCUUCACAAUAGCCUAAGUAGACAGGGCACAGGUGGCAGAGUUCCAUCACCUGGGUGCUGAGCCCAAGGAUAUGUCACAAUAUUCCUGUGGGCAAGGCUCAGGCAGGAGAGAAACAUUUUCUAAUUGCUGGAUCCAGUGAUGUCACAAUCUUCUCUGUGGGAAGAAUGCAGGUAGAAGAGAAGAGUCACAUCUUUCUAGGUAAUAAAACCAGAAGACAGGCCACAAAGCAUCCUGUGGGCAGGGCCCAGGCAGGAGUCUCUCAUCCCCUAGGUGUCAGGCCAAGAGAUUUGUCACAAUACUCAUAAUAUUCCAUGCCCUGGCAAUAAAGGUGAGUUACAUCACCUAAGUGCCAAGUCCAGGGAUAUGUCGCAAUUUCUGUUUCAUCAAGGCCCAGGCAUAAGUGGAGAGUCAUACCACCUGGGUGAUGAAUGAAAAGAUACAUCAUCAUACCCCUGUAGGCAAAGCCCAUGCAGGAGAGUUACAUCACCUAGGUGUUGGCCUCAACGAUGUGUCAAAAUACAUAAUGUAUGCAGGGUUUAGGCAGGAGAAAAGAAUAACGUCACCUAGGAUCCUGGCCAAGCAAUAUAUCAAACUUUCUUUUUGGUUGUAUUUCAGGCAGUAGAGGAGAGUCACAUCACCUGGGUUCCCAGUCCAGCAAUAUGUCACAAUGCCCCUUGUGAAAAUAACUGAAGGAUAAGAGGAGAGUAACAUAACCUAGGGGCUAGGCCAAGCUAUGUGUCACAAUCACACCUGUAAGCAGGGCCCAGGCAUGAGAGGAGAGUCACAUCAAGUAAGUACUGGGCCAUGCGAUAUAUCACAAUCCCCAUAUGGCAGGUCCCAGGAAGAUAUCACCUAGGUGCUGGGCCCAGAAACUUGUGACAAUGUCUCUUAUAGGCAAACACAGGGUAGGAGAGGGGAGGGGAUAACAUCAAACAUCUGAUGAGCCAAGUGAUAUGUUACAAUGCCCCCUGUGGGCAGGGUCCAGGCUGAAGACACACAUCACCUCGGCAUUGGGCCCAUGAAUGUUACAGUGCUUUCUGAGGGCAGGCCCAAGGCAAAAGAGUAAUAUCAUUAUGCUGCUGGGCCCAGCAGUUUGUUACAAUCUCUGCAGCAGGUGGAGCCUAAAAGAGUCAUACCAGCUAGGUAUGGGGCCUAGCAAUAUGUCACAAGAUGUUUUGUGAGAAGAAACCAGGCAGUAAAAGGGAGUCACAUCACCUGGGUGAUGAGCACAGAGAUAUGUCACAAUGGCUCCUGCAGGCAGAACCCAAACAAGAGAGUUACACUACCUGAGUUUUAGACCCAGCAGUAUGUCACACUGUCACAAUGACCCAUGUGAGCAAAGCAGAGGCAGGAGAGUAACAUAAACUAGGGGGGAGGGCAGCAAUAUUUCACAAUGUUCACUGUGGAUGGCACCAAAGCAGGAGAGAAAACUCCCAUCCCCUGGGUGCAAGGCACAGUGAUAUGUCCAAAUGCCCCAUGUGGAAAGCACAGAGGCAAGACAAUGGGGUCACAUCACCUAGUUUCUGGUCCAGCGAUAUGUCACGAUUCAUCUGUGGGUUAAAUCCAGACAGGAGAGUAAAAUCACUCAGGUUCUACACAGAAGCAUCUGUCACAGUCACACGUGCAGGAAGGUCCAAGAUGAGAUUAACAAUCCUGUGCAUAUCCUGCUUCUGUGUGCAGCAGCAAGGCAUGAGAGGAGACUCACAUUACCUGGGUGUAAGGCUCUGAGAUAUACUACAAUGUCUUUUUCAAGUAGCACCAAGGCAGAACAGAGUUACAUCACUUAGGCGCUGGGUCCAGCAGUGUGGCACAAUCCUAUUUGUAGGCUGGGCCAAUUCUGAAGAAUUACAUUACUAAGGUGCUGGGCAGAAGUGUGUGCCAAAAUCACACCUGCAGGAAAGACCAGGGAUGACAUUAACAAUCCUGUAUAUACCCCAGUUCUUGGUAUGAAAGUCAACACCUCCUGUAUGUUGGAUCUAAGCACACAAGUCACAAUUUUUAGAAUGAAUUGAAUCACUGAAUGACAGACUCAAUCCCUCUUACUGGCUGUGUCACCUUAGUGGAAUCACAGACUAAUAGGUGUGUUCAAUCUUGGUCUGAAAGUCACCAACUUACCUUUGGACUGAAUUCACUUAUGAGAGUAAAUUUUCCAACUUGUGACUGUCUCUGCAUAUGAGAUUCAGAACCUCCAGUGGACUGUGUUCAUGUGAAAAGAUGAAAAUCUUUACUGUUGGCUGGGUGUGCAUGAGUGUGAAAACCUAAACUCUACACUGAGCCUAGUUAGAACACUCUCUGUACCACCUGAGGAAUUUAUAAGGUACACGUGAGAGUCGCAAUCUUUUGUGGCUGGGAGACUUUUCUGCUGCUAUGGACCCGUGAUCGUACCUGUGGCUCUAUGCCCAGAUAUGAGAGUUAACACCUCUGUAAUGGCUGGGUCCAGAUAUGAGAGUUGCCAUCUACCUAUAAGCUAGGCUUAUUAAUAAGUCACCACCUCAGCUGUUGCCUGAUGUUCACUUACAACAGUCACAAUUUCAACUCUGCACUGCAUCCACCUGUAAGAUUUAAGACCACACCAGUAGGCUCUGUCCAUGGAUGAAGGUGAUAAUCUUAACAACUGGCAAAGUGUGCAUACACAAAAACAAUCUCAUGUUUUCUGCAACCUGUUAGGACACUCUCUGUACCACCCGGGGCUUCAUACAAUAUGUGAGAGUGUAAUUCUCUCUGACCUUCCUACAAAGGGGAGAGCCAGAAUCUUACUCAUUUUCCCAAGCCCACAUAUGAAAGAUAGUUUGUCUCUUAUUGGCUGAUUUUUGAUAUGAGAGUAAACAUCACACCUAUGAUCUGAACAAAGGUAUAUGUCACAAUCUCCCCUGUGGAUAGGGAGUGAGCAGGAGAGUUACAUCAUCUGGGUAACAGGCCAGGGAUAUGUCACAAUCUUCUCUGAGAGCAGACACCAGGCAGAAGAGUUAAAACCUGGGUGCUCAGUCAGGGAU